GGAAUCGUUAAGUGAAAUCCCUCGAGC
rnacentral:sRNA from 1 species